rnacentral:rRNA from 1 species
UACGUAGGGGGCGAGCGUUGUCCGGAGUUACUGGGCGUAAAGCGCACGCAGGCGGUCUGCUAAGUUUGGAGUGACAGUUGGUGGCUUAACUGCCAAAGUGCUUCGAAAACUGACAGACUUGAGGGCUUCAGAGGGACACGGAAUUCCGGGUGGAGUGGUGAAAUGCGUAGAGAUCCGGAGGAACACCAGUGGCGCAGGCGGCCUUCUGGGUCGACCCUGACGCUGAGAGGCGAAAGCGUGGGUAGCAAACAGG